rnacentral:rRNA from 1 species
GAUGAACGCUGGCGGCGUGCUUAACACAUGCAAGUCGAACGGAAAGGCCACAGCUUGCUGUGGUACUCGAGUGGCGAACGGGUGAGUAACACGUGGGUGAUCUGCCCUGUACUUCGGGAUAAGCUUGGGAAACUGGGUCUAGUACCGGAUAGGAAUCACAUGUGGGUGUGUGGUUGGAAAGCUUUUGCGGUAGGGGAUGAGCUCGCGGCCUAUCAGCUUGUUGGUGGGGUAAUGGCCUACCAAGGCGUCGACGGGUAGCCGGCCUGAGAGGGUGUACGGCCACAUUGGGACUGAGAUACGGCCCAGACUCCUACGGGAGGCAGCAGUGGGGAAUAUUGCACAAUGGGCGCAAGCCUGAUGCAGCGACGCCGCGUGGGGGAUGACGGCCUUCGGGUUGUAAACUCCUUUCGUCAGGGACGAAGCGAAAGUGACGGUACCUGGAGAAGAAGCACCGGCUAACUACGUG